UCAAGGUUCUAAUUGCGCAGAAGGAUGCGCAGAAUAUUAAUCAGCAAACAUGGAGGAAAUUUAUUGUGCGAAAGUGUUUAACGAGUUCGAAACUUUAAUCGGUUAAUUAGUUAUCGUGAAUUAAGAAAGUUGUUCCGAGUUUUGGUGCUUAAUACGAAAAUAAUUCAUCAAAAUCUACGAUCACAUCAAUCAUACAGAUCGAUCAGUGGGAUCGAAAUGAAGGAGCGAUCGGAAUUUUUACGGUUGCCAAUUAGCCAGUCGGUCGGCCGGAAGAGACGACCCGAUUGUAAUUUCUGAUCCGCCGCCCGAUCUCGAGGAGAGCCGGCGAGCUUCCGGGAUUACGAUCCCCGCUUGGGUUGACAGGGACGUCAUAGAGAGAUACGCCGCUCGAGAUAGGAGGAGGAUACGAGCUGUAGAACUAGCUGUAAAUUAACCACACACCACGGACCCGGGUGCAUUCGUCGUCGCUUCGUGUUCGCUUCGUCCUCCUCGGAUAUUCUCACCGGAUAUUCUUCCGCCGGUUUUCCCGUGUUUAUGCUGUAAAUCCUCUGGAAAACUUUCAACGCAUCGUCCAUACGAUCCUGCGACAUGAGAAACUUUGGACUUUCCGGAAACAUGAAGAGACAAACAACACCGAUCAAUAUUGGUAUACUACAGGCAGAUAAGAAAAAUCUCCAAGAAUUGUAGACAAAUGCUCCGUCCCAAAGAACGAUGGACCACUUUUGAGGAAUGAUGAUCAACGCGAGCGCUAUAAAAUGAAAUGAUACAACUCGUAAAUAAAUGUUUUACAAUUUGUCGUAUAUAUCGUACCUGAGCUCACGAUAUUUCCAAGUGUGAUGCUGAAACCGAUCAGCAAUGGUAUUUUCCCUCUUCCUUUGUCUCCAUAGAAUUCAGAGGAGUACGCCACGAUGGAAGCAUGAGGACCGCUUAUACUGACGUGAGAUAAUUAUUAUUGUUAUCUUUAAUAAUUAAGAUUAAGAUCUCUUUCGAACUUACAUGAAACCGCUAAGGAAUUUAAAGAAUAACAGCAUCCAAAAGUUUUGCGAUAAUCCUGACAAAAUGUUACAUAUACCGUCAGCUAGAUAGCCGAAGAGGAAAACGGUUCUUCUACCUUUGAUAUCCGCUAUAUAACCCCAUA